AUCAUUUCAUCCACUCACCCCAACCAAUUAAACCCAACAAAUCAACCCAUAAAAAUUGCCGGCUCCUCGUCGUCCAUCGCUAUCGUCGCCACCACCAUCACCACCAAGAUUCAGAAUGCAAAUCCAACCACGACUUACCAGUGAACAGGAACUUUCAAUAAUGUUAGCAGCCUUGAAGGAUGUCAUAUUGGCGCCGUCGCCGUCGCCACUUCCUCCAUGGACGAGGCAGACAAAGGCUCCCGCCAUGCCGACAGCUGUGGCCGUAAUUGCUUCAGAAGUUGCUGUCUUCCAGGGGCAAAGAUGCCUAUAUAUACUUUAAAGAAAGUGAACAAAAUUGAAGGGGCAAUAAUCGAUGGGCUGUUGUAAUUCUUGAAGGGGCUAGUGGUGAUGCUGAGGGAAGAAUACCCAAAGGUUGGUAGCGUGUUCACUUUGAAAUUACUGGACAGGAAUAUCACUUUCUUUAUUGUUCCAAAGGUGAACCAAUUCCACUCUUUGAAUGCAUGAGGAAAGGUAUUGAAUUUGUAUACCUGGCUUUACAUCACCAAACGCAUAUAUGAAUAUCUGGGAUAAUGCAUAUAAAUGUUAUGAUUUACUUACUGCAAUGGACAAAAUUAUUCCAUUCAAGGUCUCAUUGUCGAAUAUUUGUUCAAAAUCAAUGGAAUAAUAAUGAGCUAAUUGUUGGACUCAAUUAUGAAA